AGGCUCAAGAAAGACCAUUGAGUUCAAAGCAGUGAUGUUUGGAUCAGGCAGUAGAUGAGGUUAAGGGUUCCUGUGGUGGUUUAUUUGGUAAGCCCGAGAAUUUGCAUUUCUGACAAGAUCCCAGGUGAGGCUCACUCGUGCUGCUGGCUUUGGGAUCACACUUAACUACCGGAUCUGAACGUCUAUGACACUCUUUCGAGCUGACACAGUGAAGAACAUAGAAGGAGAACUCACCCAGUCUGCCAGGGUCACAGAAUGAUCAUACUCAAGAUCUUCCUGGGGAGUCAAUGGCAAAUU
rnacentral:lncRNA from 10 species